GACGAACGCUGGCGGCGUGCUUAACACAUGCAAGUCGAACGGAAAGGCCCUGCUUUUGUGGGGUGCUCGAGUGGCGAACGGGUGAGUAACACGUGAGUAACCUGCCCUUGACUUUGGGAUAACUUCAGGAAACUGGGGCUAAUACCGGAUAGGAGCUCCUGCUGCAUGGUGGGGGUUGGAAAGUUUCGGCGGUUGGGGAUGGACUCGCGGCUUAUCAGCUUGUUGGUGGGGUAGUGGCUUACCAAGGCUUUGACGGGUAGCCGGCCUGAGAGGGUGACCGGCCACAAUGGGCCUGCGAUACGGCCCAGAAUCCUACGGGCGGCAGCAGUGGGGAAUCUUGCACAAUGGGCGGAAGCCUGAUGCAGCAACGCCGCGUGCGGGAUGACGGCCUUCGGGUUGUAAACCGAUUUCGCCUGUGACGAAGCGUGAGUGACGGUAAUGGGUAAAGAAGCAACGGCUAACUACGUG
rnacentral:rRNA from 1 species